rnacentral:snRNA from 13 species
CUACUUGCCUAAUACCGGGAACUCCGGGAUCAGGAAGGCGGAGACCCCAGGAGGAGGCCCUUCCAUUGCUUUUCGGAAAUGCUGAGACCUGCCACUCCCCUAAACUGGGAAAGAUGGGGGCAUGUGAUUUUUUGGUAGAUUUUGCUAAUUUAUCAUACGAAUU